rnacentral:snRNA from 1 species
UGCUUCUGCAGCACAAUAUAAUUGAAAUGAUACAGAGAAGAUUAGCAUGGCCUCUACAUAAAGAUGACACAUGAAUUCAUUUUAUAUAUAUAU